AUGUUGUUUCAAUUGGGGUUGCCAUCUAUUAACUGUUGUUUCUGCCAUCUACUUGAUGUUUAUAUAAUUCACAAUGUGUUAGUCCAUAUGAUUCUAUAUGGUGUUUCAAUUGGGGCUGCCAUCUAUGAGUUAUUGCUGUCAUCUACUUGCAAUGUUUAUAUAAUUCACAAUGCUUUAGUCCAUCUGAAUUUAUAUGUUGUUUUAAUUUGGGCUGUCAUCUAUGAGUUGUUUCUUCCGUCUACUUGUAAUAUUUAUAUAAUUCACAUUGUUUCUGCCCAUAUGAUUUUAUAUGUUGUUCUAAUUGCGGUUGCCAUCAUUGAGUUGUUGUUUCUGCCAUCUACUUGUAAUGUUUAUAUAAUUCACAAUGCUUUAAUUGCAAGGUUAAGCGGCAUGGGAGCAAAAGAGCUUUUGGUUUGA
rnacentral:rRNA from 1 species